GGUGGUUCUUGGAUGACGCACCCUGGAAUUGGGCUCCCUCUUCUCUGGUUCCAGAGUGCAUCACCCAAGAACCAUC
rfam:Myotis davidii contig200401, whole genome shotgun sequence.